UUCCUAGGUGACAACAAUGCCGAGUAAACAAUUGACGUUUCCUAGGUAACCAGGUUACACUUUUUCGUUUCCCUUUUUUGCCGAAUGACCCUUCAAUGUAGACGUAUUUACGUCCAAAAAGUCGUUUCUAAUACCAAGAAAAGUCAUAAAGAUCCCGUAACAGACUGUGUUUUGCUUUGGCAGGAGGAACCAGACAUAGACACAUUUUGCGUUGUUAAGUUGGCAUUACGAAACAGCCCCGCCAAACAGGUCUCCCCACGUUUCGUGCUGGAGACGAGGAAGGAAUACAAGGCUAUAUUAAUGGCGACCACCGCAGGAUAUGUAGAGGGGGGUAUCUCCCCCCUCAUCCUUUCAACCGUCAACGGCAAACUGUCUCUUCUGAUACGAACCACGUUCCACUGUAGGAAGUUGCUCAUCACACGAACAAGAUCACAAAGAAGCCAUGAAACUAUUCUGAGAUAUUUAUUUACUUUGUCAGGUCGUUAAAUUAUCAAAGCAAACCGUUUCUCCUUUUGAAGCGGGCGAUCUAAGUAGUUCCAUUUUUACCGCUCAUGUAUCCAUGGAUGGAAAACGCAAAGAAAAUAAAGAAUGCGGGAGAAACCAGAGAUGAAACUUAUUUUAUCAGAAAUAUAAGUUCUACAUACAAAGAGCACAGACUGUACCUAAGCCUUGCCC